GACGAACGCUGGCGGCGUGCUUAACACAUGCAAGUCGAACGGAAAGGCCCCUUUGGGGGUACUCGAGUGGCGAACGGGUGCGUAACACGUGAGUAACCUGCCCCUGACUUCGGGAUAACUUCAGGAAACUGGGGCUAAUACCGGAUAGGAAUCCUUGCUGCAUGGUGGGGGUUGGAAAGCUUCGGCGGUUUUGGAUGGACUCGCGGCUUAUCAGCUUGUUGGUGGGGUAGUGGCUUACCAAGGCUUUGACGGGUAGCCGGCCUGAGAGGGCGACCGGCCACAUUGGGACUGAGAUACGGCCCAGACGCCUACGGGAGGCAGCAGUGGGGAAUAUUGCACAAGGGGCGGAAGCCUGAUGCAGCAACGCCGCGUGCGGGAUGACGGCCUUCGGGUUGUAAACCGCUUUCAGCAGGGGCGAAGCUUGUGGUGACGGUACCUGCAGAAGAAGCACCGGCUAACUACGUG
rnacentral:rRNA from 1 species